GAUGAACGCUGGCGGCGUGCCUAAUACAUGCAAGUCGAGCGAACGGACGAGAAGCUUGCUCCUCUGAUGUUAGCGGCGGACGGGUGAGUAACACGUGGAUAACCUACCUAUAAGACUGGGAUAACUUCGGGAAACCGGAGCUAAUACCGGAUGAUAUUUUGAACCGCAUGGUUCAAAAGUGAAAGACGGUCUUGCUGUCACUUAUAGAUGGAUCCGCGCCGCAUUAGCUAGUUGGUAAGGUAACGGCUUACCAAGGCAACGAUGCAUAGCCGACCUGAGAGGGUGAUCGGCCACACUGGAACUGAGACACGGUCCAGACUCCUACGGGAGGCAGCAGUAGGGAAUCUUCCGCAAUGGGCGAAAGCCUGACGGAGCAACGCCGCGUGAGUGAUGAAGGUCUUCGGAUCGUAAAACUCUGUUAUUAGGGAAGAACAAAUGUGUAAGUAACUAUGCACGUCUUGACGGUACCCAAUCAGAAAGCCACGGCUAACUACGUG
rnacentral:rRNA from 1 species